rnacentral:rRNA from 1 species
UACGAAGGGGGCUAGCGUUGUUCGGAUUUACUGGGCGUAAAGCGCACGUAGGCGGAUUGGUCAGUUAGGGGUGAAAUCCCAGAGCUCAACGCUGGAACUGCCCUUAAUACUGCCAGUCUAGAGUCCGGAAGAGGUAAGUGGAACUCCUAGUGUAGAGGUGGAAUUCGUAGAUAUUCGGAAGAACACCAGUGGCGAAGGCGACUUACUGGGCACAUACUGACGCUGAGGUGCGAAAGCGUGGGGAGCAAACAGG